AAUAUCUAUUAUAAUAAUCAUUUUGAACCAGAUCCCGUCUGAUCUCUGAAGUAAAUCAGUUCCAAGCUAUCUUAGUAGUUGGAUGGGAGACCUCUUAUGAACAGUUAGUGCCGUAAGUC
rnacentral:rRNA from 1 species